rnacentral:lncRNA from 1 species
AUUUGAAAGUUCACCUUUCAAACAAAGUGCUUUCAAAUAAGUUCCCAAAUGAACCCCGGUGAGUUAGUGCUUAUAUAAGCAUGGCUCAUAUUUUAAAUAUUGUAUAUAAGUAUAGGUCAUUCUUUCUUAAAUAUUUAUAUAACUAUAGGUACUGAAUUUCAGUGAAUGUUAUAUUAAAAUGGGUACGUUUUUUGAGGCAAAAAUGGCACACCCCUACCAAGAAAAUAUCGAAGUUAACCCCCCGUGACUU